rnacentral:rRNA from 1 species
UACAGAGGGUGCGAGCGUUAAUCGGAUUUACUGGGCGUAAAGCGUGCGUAGGCGGCUGAUUAAGUCGGAUGUGAAAUCCCUGAGCUUAACUUGGGAAUUGCAUUCGAUACUGGUUAGCUAGAGUAUGGGAGAGGAUGGUAGAAUUCCAGGUGUAGCGGUGAAAUGCGUAGAGAUCUGGAGGAAUACCGAUGGCGAAGGCAGCCAUCUGGCCUAAUACUGACACUGAGGUGCGAAAGCAUGGGGAGCAAACAGGAUUAGAAACCCCCGUAGUCC